AAUGGGUCAGCGACUUAUAUUCUGUAGCAAGGUUAACCGAAUAGGGGAGCCGAAGGGAAACCGAGUCUUAACUGGGCGUUAAGUUGCAGGGUAUAGACCCGAAACCCGGUGAUCUAGCCAUGGGCAGGUUGAAGGUUGGGUAACACUAACUGGAGGACCGAACCGACUAAUGUUGAAAAAUUAGCGGAUGACUUGUGGCUGGGGGUGAAAGGCCAAUCAAACCGGGAGAUAGCUGGUUCUCCCCGAAAGCUAUUUAGGUAGCGCCUCGUGAAUUCAUCUCCGGGGGUAGAGCACUGUUUCGGCAAGGGGGUCAUCCCGACUUACCAACCCGAUGCAAACUGCGAAUACCGGAGAAUGUUAUCACGGGAGACACACGGCGGGUGCUAACGUCCGUCGUGAAGAGGGAAACAACCCAGACCGCCAGCUAAGGUCCCAAAGUCAUGGUUAAGUGGGAAACGAUGUGGGAAGGCCCAGACAGCCAGGAUGUUGGCUUAGAAGCAGCCAUCAUUUAAAGAAAGCGUAAUAGCUCACUGGUCGAGUCGGCCUGCGCGGAAGAUGUAACGGGGCUAAACCAUGCACCGAAGCUGCGGCAGCGACGCUUAUGCGUUGUUGGGUAGGGGAGCGUUCUGUAAGCCUGUGAAGGUGUGCUGUGAGGCAUGCUGGAGGUAUCAGAAGUGCGAAUGCUGACAUAAGUAACGAUAAAGCGGGUGAAAAGCCCGCUCGCCGGAAGACCAAGGGUUCCUGUCCAACGUUAAUCGGGGCAGGGUGAGUCGACCCCUAAGGCGAGGCCGAAAGGCGUAGUCGAUGGGAAACAGGUUAAUAUUCCUGUACUUGGUGUUACUGCGAAGGGGGGACGGAGAAGGCUAUGUUGGCCGG
rnacentral:rRNA from 1 species